UGGGGAAUAUUGGACAAUGGGCGAAAGCCUGAUCCAGCGACGCCGCGUGAGUGAAGAAGUAUUUCGGUAUGUAAAGCUCUAUCAGCAGGGAAGAAAAUGACGGUACCUGACUAAGAAGCCCCGGCUAACUACGUGCCAGCAGCCGCGGUAAUACGUAGGGGGCAAGCGUUAUCCGGAUUUACUGGGUGUAAAGGGAGCGUAGACGGUUAAGCAAGUCUGAAGUGAAAGCCCGGGGCUCAACCCCGUACUGCUUUGGAAACUGUUUGAACUUGUAGUGCAGGAGAGGUAAGUGGAAUUCCUAGUGUAGCGGUGAAAUGCGUAGAUAUUAGGAGGAACACCAGUGGCGAAGGCGGCUUACUGGACUGUAACUGACGUUGAGGCUCGAAAGCGUGGGGAGCAAACAGGAUUAGAUACC
rnacentral:rRNA from 1 species